GUCCGGAGCUACUCAGGGAUGCUUGCGAAAGAAGAAAUGUCCAAACCUUAGAAGACAAAAGGGAUGAAUGCGAGGGGGUGAUGCAAAUGCCAGAAACGAAGAGUGCUUAUCCAGUUUGGUUAUAAGUAUAUUCCUCGAGCACUUUCUGAAAUAGGUGCAGCAGAAAACGCCUCGUAGGUCCGAGUCCAUACAACCAAAUCUCUGAAAGGGGUAGAGAAUAACAUACUUAUCAAAAAUCCUAGAAAGGGUGUAUAUUCAUGUACGAAGGUCGAUUUUCCCCAGUUGAACGAAAGAAAGUCGUCCCGCCAGUAUAUCUUGAGUACUAUAUCUGUGUAAACUCCAAGCUAAGAAUUGAUCGUCAUAGUAAACUGGGAAAAGAAAAGUAACUUUCAAAACUGUAGUAGUUUGCCGUCAAACAAUGACCACAUUUU